rnacentral:lncRNA from 1 species
CAUGGUACAAAGCUCUUACUGAUGUCGAGCAGCCGCACAAGUUGUCCGGCCUCUACAGAUCAUCCACUCAAAGCUCUGAUUGGAUCUUCCUUCGUGAGAGUGCUAGCUCGCGUCGAAGGCUCGGAUGGCUGAUCCAAGCUCCUUUCUUCAAAUCUUCCGGACUCUUCCGGAUCAGAAGAUGAAGCUUUACGAGAAGGUGGUGGUGUGGAAGAUUGGACAAAACUCACUCUUGUAUUUUUCUUCUCACAAAAUCUGGAGAUGAAACCCUAGAACCCACAGCUCACGCCUGAGAGGAAGAACACUUCCUCUGUUUCUCA